CUUGACCACCUGCUGGUCUUGGAUCUUGCAUCUUAUCCCUAACUGCUGUCUCCUCUCCUAAUUGAAGAAAUAAAGCUAUCCCACUAAGGGGAGCCUUCACCUGGAAAGACAUAAGAAACCAUACAACCCCUUGACCACCUGCUGGUCUUGGAUCUUGCAUCUUAUCCCUAACUGCUGUCUCCUCUCCUAAUUGAAGAAAUAAAGCUAUCCCACUAAGGGGAGCCUUCACCUGGAAAGACAUAAGAAACCAUACAACCCCUUGACCACCUGCUGGUCUUGGAUCUUGCAUCUUAUCCCUAACUGCUGUCUCCUCUCCUAAUUGAAGAAAUAAAGCUAUCCCACUAAGGGGAGCCUUCACCUGGAAAGACAUAAGAAACCAUACAACCCCUUGACCACCUGCUGGUCUUGGAUCUUGCAUCUUAUCCCUAACUGCUGUCUCCUCUCCUAAUUGAAGAAAUAAAGCUAUCCCACUAAGGGGAGCCUUCACCUGGAAAGACAUAAGAAACCAUACAACCCCUUGACCACCUGCUGGUCUUGGAUCUUGCAUCUUAUCCCUAACUGCUGUCUCCUCUCCUAAUUGAAGAAAUAAAGCUAUCCCACUAAGGGGAGCCUUCACCUGGAAAGACAUAAGAAAGUAUGUCCUAGAACUUCUGCUGGAUUUAAAUACAUAUUUGUAUGCCUCUUUCCGA